UGUACAUAGUGCUGAUUUCAGUCUGUUAUCAGGGCUUUUUCCACUGCAGCCUUAGAAAAGCUGUUUGGAAGGAGAAAGGUACACGAACACCCACUCUUUUGUUGAGAAGCCACAAGGAGCUUUCAGUGUUGUCAAUUCUUGCAAGUUAUCUGGCAUAAACCUGACUUAAUUCUGUAUCCUUCUCAGUGGACCACAAGUCCUGAUACUUACCUUCUUUUUCAGUGUGAUUUACAUGAGUAUGGCAUCCAUGAAGUUGGUCCUGGUACAGGAGGAGUCUCAUGCUGUGGCUUCAGAGUUCCAGAGGAGAAAAUAGGUUCUGUUUUGAAUUUAUCAUUUCAACCUGAGGAAAAUAGAAUUGACAAAUCAACAAAAUUCCUGAAAUUUAAGGGCCAUCACUCCCUGCCUGCCUAAUCUACUGUUGCUAACAAGAAUGACAGUACCAGACCAGAGAUGAACAGCCUUCCCUGGCCCUUUGUUUCAUUCUGCCAGGUGUCUGUAUUUCUGAAGACCCAACUUUUGGUAAGGGGGAAACUGUGUUCACAUAGGAGCAUUGUGAUUCACAACUUUUAACAAUGAAGCAGCACAGGAAGCCAACACAGUGGCUCAGGACCCUUCCAGAAAAACACUGGGGAGGCUGUGGAGAGGACCAUGAUCACCUCAGAUUCCUGAAAAGCAGGCACUGAAUGUCUCUGAUGUCAGCUCUAAGCUUCUCUCCCUGCUCAGCUGAGAGGAAAAAUGGAUUGCCAAUAAAGCUGUUCGGAGUGAAAUGAUCCCAUCAUCAAAAUACAUUCAAAGAAAGGAAGAGUGAAGGAAUCCAUAACACCAUGCACUCUCACAUGGAUGCUUGCAUAUGGCAGUGGCUCUACUCAGACCUACUGAGACCAGUGCAUCAGUUAAGAAAAUGAAAUCCUGAACUGUAUCUUCUAUCCAAAAUCAGGAAGACAGUUUUGGACAGAGAGAACAUGUGAGUUCUUAGAAGAAAAUACUCCUGAAUGCUCAGCAGUUGUUGAAGUUUACUGCUGACCAAAUCUCUGGGAAGCACACUGAAACACCCCACAGGAACAAGAGAUGCAUAAAGCCUACAAGCUCUUUACCAGGUGGAAAAGCCAUUCUGUAACAGCUAAGAGAUGAAAUGAAAGAAAAGAGACCCAGUUCAACACACAUGAACUUUCUAAAUCAAGUCUCACACGUGCUGUUCCAGAUCACGUUUAUAGCGAGCCGAACCUCAGACUAAAGGAAAUAAAGCAUCAAGUUUGAGCUCUGAUGUUUCAUUGAUUUAGCCAAGUUCACAGAAGCCAAGUAUGUCUGAGUUUGUUCACACAGCUGGUGAGAUAUAAAGUCUUUCUCCCAACAGUAAACUUCUCCCCUCCCUCCAAGAGCUGGGAGAAGGGACUCAGAGUUUGCUGAACCAUGUGGACCUUGGGGAGGGAGAAGAAGUGGGGUCACCUGGUCAGGCAGAGUGGCUCUUGUGUGAGAUUGAAUUUAUCAGACUAAAAGCUCCUCUUUGUCUUCCCCAAAGUAGAUGCUUUCCUUCUUCCACAUAGCUCAUGUGCAGAAAUUUAGUGAGGAAAAUCAACUGCUUCAUGCUGACUUUAGGGCAAGAUUGCCUGAUUUGUUUGCAUUCAAGUUACUUAUUAGUCUAGCUGUAAGUUCAGUUUUGUGUCAGAUACAGUGACCUCUUCUGUUUUACACAGAAGACAAACAGGGCUGAGCGUAUGAAACCUGUGUACACAAAUCACAAUGAGUACGUGACUGAGUUAGAGCGUAUUAAAAGAAAAAUAUAUAGUAAAAUGGUAAAUGUAGAGCCUUGGGUCCUCAAAUCUAGCCUCUUUUUUUGCCAAACAAUUCUUAAAUGGUGCUUCAGUAAAAGCCUGAGCUGCAAUAGACUUAGACACAUAUUUAGCACAGUGUUAUGAACACUUAAGUAUUUCUGUUCCUGAGAUCCCAACAUGAGAUUAUUGGAGUGGUAAGGCACAUCAGGUGUAAACGCCAAGUCUUGCUUGUGCCUUUGCUAAUGGAAACUCACUCAAGUGAAUACAGUUGCUUGGUUUGCAUUUGCACGGCUGAGGCCAUGGCUUGGCCUAGGACUUAAAAGUUUGAACAUAAGGGAAAAAUAACAAUCAAAUGUCUGCUAAUGCCUAGAAAUGUGAACAGUGGACUGAAUCUAAAAUUAAAAAUUAGGAGGGAGAAAUA